UGAGCUCCGAGCUUCAUGUUCGGCUUUGAAUUGCUUGAGGUCAAGGUCUCUGCUAUAUUCCCCUUUUAUCUCCACUUUCUGACGCAGAGAGGAGCUGGAGAUUCUUUGCAGAAUAGUUGAAUACCAGCAGGAGAGCUGACAGAACAAAGGCAGCUCUAACUCUGAAAGUCAACUCUCACUUGGUGUCGUGGAAGGCGCAGCUCUCUAGUUGACCCGGCCAGGUCCCCUCUGUAGAACUGCGCUGAGCUCUGUGCUGAUUCUCUCUCCAUUGGCCUGGACCUCAAGGGUAUGUAUCUAGCCUCUUCUUCCUGGGUAGCCUUUCUUCUGGCAGGAAGCCCUACAGCACGCUCUUUUCAAAUCAGCUCCUGGCCAGCUCCUUCCCGGGGAUCCACAGAACACAGAGCCCACAGCAACUGCACUCCAUGGAGUUCUUCUGAAUUUCUGUGAAGUAGAAAGAGAUCACACUGAUAUGUUCCUCCAGCAGAUGAGGAGGAAAGGCUAGUUCCAUGCGUGGAACCCUGACUGAUGACUGAAAGCUAACAGGAUUGAUGGAAGCUGUUGGAGGUAUGCUAGCAACCAAAGUGUAACUUCGAAAUUCAUUGAUUUCUCUAGAUGUCGUUUAAUCUCAUUUUUCAUGUACAUUCUUUAAAUGGAACAUUUUGUCAAUUUAAUGACUGAUUUUCUAUUUCCAGUUCAUCUCUCUUUGCCUUCCAGACUUCUACUUCCUCCUGCAGUCACUUCAAAUUGUUUUCAUGGGGAAACUUCCUCUUUUUCUGGGUAAUUGCAGCUCACAGUCAUUUCUCUUUAGCUUGAUGAUACUUUUCUUCUCUGUCUGUGAUGUGUUCCUAAACCAUGUAGUUUUCUUCCUAUGCCAUGCUUUCUAGACUAUUCUCUUGAACCUUCUCACUUAGUUCCAAAUCAAUGGUAGACAUAAUUCAUGGUGAGAGAAAGGGAAACCACAGUCCCCCAGACUCUGUAAAGAACUCCUCAUUCUCCAAUGUCAUCAUCCUCUCAGCUAAUUCUUAGCUUAAUUUUAUAUUCCAUUGAGAUGUGAGAGAAAUCAAAAGUGGUAAAACCAGGUUCACAGUCUCUUAUCAUUUUCUGCACAGAUGGUCUGAUACUAUUUUUAUUGCUCUUGGAAACUCAGAAACAACAUAAAUAAAUACAUCCAAGUGAUGAUAGCUAUCAUUUGUUGUUGGUCUAUAAUACAAGGCAACAUACAACACAUCCAUGGCCCUGUUUAACCUUACACUAAUCUGACAAAGAAGGUAUAAUUACUUUGUUUUACAGAUGAAGAAAUUGGGGGGUACAGGUUGAUGAAUAGACUUUCCCAAGAUCAUAUGACUAGUAAGUGGUAAAACCCAGGUUCAGAUCAACACCAGUCUGUCUAAAAUUCCUUUAAUAUCAUCAACUCAGAGUUGUAAUUCUUUGGACACCAGACACCAUACACUGCUGAUAGCCAUCUAUGCAAAUUUCACCCUGCUCCAAUAUUAGAAACCUCCUCCUAGAGCCUAUUUUCCUUGUCAACCCACGACAGCUUCAUUCCAUCUUAAACUCAACACCCCUUGCCAAUGACUUAGAAUCUAAAUUCAGCCUUGAUUUUUUGAGUUUUCGCAUUCAUGGUACCCAAAGGAUCUCCACCUCCUAAGAUCCCCUUUGUGGUCCCCUGGCAGUGUGUGCUAGCUGAUGGUGGAGAUAUGAGAAUAAAGGUCUUCGGGUGUGGAGCUAUUAUAGGAUCUGAACUGAGCCAGCUGGUUGUUUAACAAUCCAGCAUGAGUUCAACCCAAAAUUCUCACGGCUCAUCCAAGCCCAAAUCCACAUAACCAAGCUAUGGCAUUAACUCUGAAGGACAGAGCUAGACCUAAAAGGGUAGCUAUCCGAAAGCCAGAGACAGAACCAGAAGGAAGUUAAUUGGUUAAAGUCAACAUAAAAAUGAUUAGAGUUUGGGAAAUUUUGUCUGCAACAGCAGGGUGAGAUGCCCAUUUGAACGCUGGUUUAAAGGUUCACAGUGAGGGAACCACACUGCCCUCAGGCUGGAGGUACCCUUCAGAGCCAUCUGGUUUUCCAGGCUUACCACCACAUGUUAUAAAUAGCUGUGGCUGAUCCUCACAUGGAAGCCCACUCAGCUGAGUUCCUGCCAUUUCUCUUCCAUGCAGACUCCUGCUGGUCUCACACAUAGCAUUCUGAUUCCAGUAUUUCAGCUGCCACACAGGUUGACCCAGCCCCUCACCCUAGCAAAAGAGUAGGAGAGGUUUUCGAUCAGUGGGUGUGAUGGUCUGGAUUUAUUAUUGAGCAAAUAGUCACAACCCUUCCCCUCCCACUAUGAGCAAAGUACACUUCUUCUGGUCCAUUGAUGUUGGGCUUGGUUGGCCAUAUGACUUAACUUGACCCAUGGAAAAUCAGUCAGCCUGAUGAAAGCUGAAUCUUGAAAUAAUAUGCCUGGUUUGGCUGGAGUCUUCAUUCUAGUGAUCCUUUGUGGGAAAACAUGACUUGCUCAGCCUCUGCCCCUUCAACUUGGGCCCCAGAACAGACAAUCCUAUAGUAGACCCGCAUGAAUCCACGUCCUAGAUCCAAGCCUGUGCAGAUGCAGCCUGAAGCAUAAACAAACACAGCCUGCAUCCACUGAGCAGCACUCAACACACAGACUUUGGAACAUGAGAAUAAUUGCUUCUUUCAAUAACCAUUGAUUUCCCAGCAGUUCGUUACAAAACUUUAUGAUGGCUGUAGUUGACUAAGACAGUGGACUUAGCAAGAUCGUAGGCCAAUUCUUCUUGAGGACACAGACAUUGACUUAGCAUGUGUCAGAGUCUCCUGGGUUGAGUGUAUUUCCCUGGAGAGUUGUUGGAUUUGGAAGAAGGGCAUGGUGGCACAGAGAAAAUAUCAAGAAAUGUAAAACACAGCAUCCUUAUUUUGAGACACGUCCACAUCUGCACGUUUCAAAUGUAGGUCUUUGGGUAUUACCUUUAACUUUUUGCCACAUUCGAGUACAAAUUCAACUAUUAUCUCUUUAGUGUAUUUUUUGAGGCUUAGUUGACAUAAUAUUAAUUAGUUUCAUGAA